rnacentral:lncRNA from 1 species
UUUUAUUCCGCUUUCAGUUUAUCUCAUUUUUGGUUUAUCUCAUUGUUUCAGUUUACUUUAUUGGUCUUGUUGAGAAAAAUAAAUAGGUAAUCAAUUCUUUGUGGAUUCGAUCCUUCACCACUAUCUGCAGUUGUAAAUUGUUGAUAACCAAGAAGGUUAUUUUUGACCGGCUUCGACAACCGCGAGUCAAAAAUUGGCGCCGUUGCCGGGGAGUUGAUUUAACUUAUUUGUUUUUCUUUCAGGACCAAAUUAAAAAAAAAAAAAGAGAAAUUCACCAAAGGCACAGUCACCAUCGCAGAUCUGAAUCAUGGCUAAGGUAAGUACAUCUGUUCGCUGUUCUCAACUUUCUAAACUAAUCUCUGCUGUGAGAAUUUUUGUUAUAGGCCAAGCUGAACAAGCCCAACCAAUACCUCAAGGUUUCAAUACUGAUCUUUAUGAGAAAUUAAAGGCUUUGCAACGUCUCCAACACGAAGUCGAUCAAAUGGCCCAAUAGGCACUUGCAUUUGAAGGACCCUAUGGACAGCCAAGACAUGAUCCCUACCAUAACACAUACAAUCCACAUUGGGGAGACCAUCCAAAUUAUGGCUAUGCAAGGGACCAACAAGUACAUGCAUUUGAAGGAUUCUAUGAACAGCCAAGACAUGAUCCAUACUAUAACACAUACAGUUCAGGUUGGAGAGACUAUCCAGACUUCAGUUAUGCAGAGGCUAACAACUACCAGGAUUAUCAAGGAUAUCAAGCCCAACCAGAACCUCAAAGUUCCAAUCUUGAUGAGAUUAUGAAGACUUUGCAAACUAUCCAAUAAUAACAGGAUCAAUUGAACAAAUCAUUGAAUGCAACCAUGUUAGGAAGAAAGGAAGAGCUUCAAGAUAUAUGGGAUUAUGAUGAAAGUUGGCAAGUACAAGAACAAGUUGCUGAAGAGACCCAACCAGAAAACUGUUUGUCCCAACAAAUUGGUCAAACAGAAACCGCUGAAAGUUUAGAUAUCAUUGAUUGUAUGAGCCAAGAAAAUUUUUA